CCGGGCAUCUUCUUCAAUAAAGGUUAUAGGUCCUUCAGUUCUUUGCCGCUUGAGCAGUCCGGCCGAUCCACUGGCCGCUCCCCUCCGAGACCAUUCAAAGAUGGUGUUGAUGAUUUCGACUGGAGGCCGAUCCCCAAGCUGUUCUUCCCUCCUUCGCAGCUCCGAUUGCGGUGGGGCCUUUGGCCGAUCUUUCCUACUUUUAGGUUGGCAUCGAAUGAAUCCAUCGACUGCCGUUGUCGGAG
rnacentral:lncRNA from 1 species